UCCCCCUUAUCUCCUCAGGCUGGAUCAUGUCAAAAAGGCUGUCAUGGGUUCUCUUUCAUCGGUGCAGCCUUGGUAAUGCUGAAGUAUUUGCUGAAACUCAGAGGUUGGUAUGCUCAAGGAACUAUACCUACAGAUAAAAAAAUAAUCAAGAUAUGUAAUGAAUGACAAAAAAUAAAUGUAGAAUAUGAUGAUUCUGUUUUUUGAAUUAUCAUUACCAUUAGGACAAUUGAGCAGCCAAAGAGGUAAGACUGUCUUCAACCCUUGUCAACCCUUUUUGCCUGACAUGGCUCCUCUGACUUUAGACAUUCAAUAAUCACUGGGAGCACCUGGAUGGUGAAGGUCUUGAUGGCAUCAGACUAGGCUAAAGCUCUCAACUGCAAAAGGUCAUCCAGGUAGGAGAUAAGAAAUUUUGAACACAUGUCGUUUGGCCUUGGAAACAAGAACAUCGCAAACAUAUAGGCUAUCCAAAGCCUCACAGUAUCCUCGAUAUCCUCCUUCUCUUCAGUAUCUUUCAAAAGACCAACAUACCUCCCAAUCCGUUUAUGCUAGAGAUCCAUGUUGGUCUCAAAUCUAUUAAAAAGCCUCUCCUUCAAAACUUUGAAGGCUGAAACCUUCUUUCCAUGGGAGGGAAGACUGAUAACAAGUGCUACUUUUGCCACAUUAAAAUUAAUUAUCUUUCUUGAAAAAUAAAAUUUAUCACCGCCCUCAUAACAUUUUAUGAUAUCAGUAAGGAGUGCCCCAUCAACUACAAAGGGCUCCAUGUCGAUGAAGGUUCCAAAUGGAGUCUGCCUGAUAAGCUCCACAUGAGUAGCAGAAAACUUUAUUUUUCGGACAUUAUGCACGUAUACUAAAGGUUUGCAUGUGUUUUUAAAGAUUUGAAGGGCCCUGCCUCUCGAAACAGUGGAGACCCCUGAAAAUUUCACUAUAACAAAAACAAUGGAAUACGAAGUCAUAGAUGGUUAAUCGAAGGGGUAAAAGUUAACAUAUUUGUUAUCUAUUUGGCUCAGACUUAACCCUCCUAUUUCACCAGAAGAAGAAAGGGUAUCCUGACUUCCGUAAGGAACCAUUGCAUUGCUUUCUUCCUCCAUCUACUGCUUGCCUUGGCCUUCUUGUCUUGGAUGCCUCGUGAUCAUAUACGUUCUAGUCGACAUCGAAUAAAAAAGGAAAAACAAUGACAUAGGAGAGGGAUUGCUAGGAAGGGAGCGAAGGGAGAGUAAACGAUGGAGUGAAGGGUUUGCGGGUAGAUGAAAUGGGGUUUUCAAUUUCUUCCACUUCCUUUUUUUACCGUCUCAGGGCAAAAUUGUCAUUUCAACCCCAUUGAAAAGAUUGUUAUUGAUAGAUCUGAUCGAUGCUCGAGGCAGUUGAGUUAAUUGGUAUGAAUCGUCUUGAAGCAUUGGUAAAAAAAAUGGCGCAAGACAUAAAAAAUAGCAUUAAGUCAUAAAAUAUUGGCAGAAGUCGUGAAACAGUGCUAGAAAUCAUAUAAAUUUGUCAAAAGUCAUACAAACUUGUCGAAAGCCAUCAAACAUUGUUGAAAGUCAUUAAACAGUGUCGGAAGCAAUAAAGAAGUCAUAAAAUAUUUUUGGGAUAUAUUAAACAGCGCCGAAAGUCAUCAAACAUUGCUGGAAGUCGUCAAAUAGAGCCGAAAGCAAUGGAAAAAGUCAUGAAACAGUAUUGAAAGUCAUAAAACAGAGCUGAAAGACAAAAAAAAUUGGAGGAAAUCAAUAAAACCAUCCUAAAGUCAUAAAAUAGUGAAUGAUGUUGUGGAACAUUUUCGAGAGAUAUUAAACUAUACAAGAAGUCAUAAAAUAUUUUCGAAAGUCAUCAUACGUCAGAGGUCACAAAACAGUGCUAGAAGAGAUAAAAAACUGACGGAAGUCAUAAAAAAUAGUAUAAGUAUAUUAUUUGACUUCUGACACUAUUUUUUGACUUCCAAAAUUAUUUUAUGAAUUCUGACAAUAUUUCAUGACUAUCUAGAAUGGUUCAUGACUUCUAGGCUCUUUUAUAACUUUCGAUGAUGUUUUAUAACUUUCAGUACUAUUUCACGACUUCCGACACUAUUUCAUGACCUCCAGCAUUAUUUCAUGAAUUUAUGCACCUUUUUUAUGACUUUAAAAAUUAUUUUAUGACGUCUUAUACUAUUUUAUGAUUUCUGAUAAUGCUUCAAGACAUCCAAUACUGCUUUAUGACAUCUUACACUGUUUCAUGAUUUUCUAUUCUGUUUUAUGACUUUCUAUACUGUUUCAUGACUUCCUGCAUUAUUUCAUGAAUUUCUGCAUUGUUUCAUGAUAUAAAAAUUUUCAUACAUAAAGUACGAAAAUUUAGUUCCAAAAUAAAUAUUUUAUUUAUAAUAAUUACAUAAAACGAAUCGAUUGACGAUCAUACAAACAAACAAAGAGAAAGAGAAACAACAGAGACUGAUCCUACUCGCUUGAUUCGACAUGGACUUGAUUCGACAUGCAACAUUAGUUUGGCAUAAAGUAAAUAUCUGAAUUGCAUAUUUGUCAGAAGGUCUGUGUCUGGUGUCAAAUCCCACAUGUUCUGAAAAUGUGAGAAAAACAAACAAAGAGAGGAAAACAAUAGAGGCCGACUCUACGCCUCGCCCGAUGAAAGUCCCCUUGUUUUUCUUUCAUCAAGGAGAAAAUCAAAACUUUGAUGCACCAUCACCUUUCCCGCAAUGAAAGUGUCUACGCUGGUGACCUCCUCUCCACUUAUGACAAAGGCCUCGAACUCUCCGACUCCAUGUUCCCCAUCCUUGAAGAGAACAUUGAGUAGAAGAAAGAUGUGGUAUCACACACUUCCCAUAAGCGAAAAGACCGUUUUCAAUAUCUCCCAAGCCAAGCUAGAAUCUACAAGAUGACUCAAUUCCUUUAGACAAUAAGCGACAGUCCUGAUAGGAAAGUUGGGCUCCUCCUCUAGUGAAGAGCUUACAAUGAAAGGAGCCGCCCCAUCGCACCAUAGCACGCAAGAAGACUUUUUUCUUUACUCUGAGACGGAUGUGGGGGGGGGGUCUCACCCUAUCAAAAGAGGAGCCAGAUUCAAUGCCUUGUAACAACUACUAUUAACCAGCGACAUGUGUGGAAUGGGGGUUGGUCGUGGGCACCGCCAAAGCUAACACGCACUUAAUUCGGGUAUGAGUGGAGCGGUCGUACGGUUUCACCUCCCCUCUCUCGGUCUUCAAGAUGACGUGCUAUCAAUAUUGAACAUAUAUCGAAAUUAUGGCAUCCAUUUUAGGUUAGUAAAUCCUCACAAAAAUAAUUUUUAGGAGAUAUCGAGUAUUAUUUUAUGAUCUUCUUUUAUGACUUCCGAUACUAUUUUAUAACUUUUUAUACUUUUUUAUCACUCCUUGUACUAUGAAAUGAUUUUUUUAUCAUUUUAUGACUUCCAGCAAUUUUGAUAUUUUCUUACAUUAUUUUAUAACUUCCGACAAUACUUCAAGACAUCCUAUACUAUUUUAUAACUUCCUCCGUUAUUUUAUAACUAUACUAUUUUAUAAUUUUUUGUACUAUUUCAUGAUAUCCUGCACUAUUUUAUAACUUUCUCUACUGUUUCUAUUGUUUCAUGACAUCUGACAUUAUUUUAUAAUUUCAUUUACUGUUUCUUGACUUUCAAGGAUGUUUCAUAACUUUCAACAAUAUUUUAGGACUUUCUGCAAUAUCUUAUGACUUCAACAUUGUUUGAUGAUUUUUCAUUCUGUUUUAUAAUUUUCUGUACUGUUUUAUGACUUCUUGUAUUGUUUCAUAAAUUCCGACACUGUUUCAUGAUAUAAACAUUUUCAUACACAAAGUAAAAAAAUUCAGUUCCAAAAUAAAAAUUUUAUUUAUAAUAAUUAUAAGAAACGGAUUGUAACGAUUGACGAUCAUAUAAAUAAAAAGAGAAAGAGAAACAAUAGUGGCCAUCAUAUAAACAAACAAAGAGAAAGAGAAAUAACAGAGGCUGAGUCUACUUUCCAUCUGAUAAAAAAUUCCUUUUCUUUCUUUCGUCAGGGAGAAAAUUGAAACUUGAGCGUACCAUCAUCUUUCAUAACUUCUUUUCAUGACUUCCUACACUGUUUCAUGACUUUCUGUAUUAUUUUUUGAUAUCUGACACUAUUUUAUGACUUUCGUUAAUGUUUAAUAACUUUAGGCACUUUUUCAUGAUUUCUAGCAUUGUUUCGCAACUUUCGGCACUAUUUUGUGACUUCCACUAGUAUUUCAUGUCUCCAUGCACUUUGUUAUAACUUUUGGAGUUAUUUUAUGACUUCUUAGUCUAUUUUAUGACUUUCGGCGGUGCUUCAGGACAUCUUACAUUGUUUUAUAACUUUUUUCAAUAUUUAUGACUAUACUGUUUUAUGAUUUCCUCCAUUAUUUUUUGACAUCUAGCACUGUUUUAUGACUUCUGCAAAUAUUUCAUGACUUUUUCAUUAGGCCGUCAUAUAAGAUUCUAAGAUGUCAUAAAAAGGUAAAUAAAAAUCAUACGAACAUAUAGGAUGUCAUAAAAAUUAAAUCAGAAGUCAUUAGACUGUACACGAUGUUAUAUAAAAUAUGAAAGAAUUAUGAAGGAACGGAGCUUGAGGGAUCAUAAAAUUAUGACUUCCCAAUAAGAGAUUCGAAGAGUCAAUUAUGGAUGAAUCCCAAAGCGACGAAGCAUCCCUCAUGGAUUCUCCAGAUGCAAUUAAAUCUAUAAAAGAGUCAAUGAAGGAUAGCAAGCAAGGGGCAUGACUCCCAAUAAGUUGUUUUACAUGUGGCAAAAUCUGGUGAUUCAUUGGCCGGAUCUAUGUCAUCCGUGUUCUCUAUAAAUAGACUAUUUGUUUCUAGAGUUUUUCAUAAAAGGCACUAGAAAGAAAUUUAUCUUACUCGUGUUGAGGAAUGGAGCCAUCAGUGAAGCCAUCCUUUUGCGCAAUCAAGGAGGUAGUGAGGAAGAGAAUUCGCUCUGAGAGCGAUGAGUCAUCCUCCAAAAGACAAAGAACUCUCCAGCCUCCUGUUCCUAUCUCCUUUUCACAACUGUCUGAGCCACCACCGAUUGGGUUGCCACUGCCCUUUCAGGCUCCCCUCCUUUCUGGCCGAGCCCAACCUUUUGCUAGCAAGAUGUCAAUCCAUAUUUCCGACGACAUCAAAACCUCCUGCAUUGAGGAGUACAAGGCUUCGACUGAUUUUUAAGAGGAAAUCAUGGAGGCAUCCUCAGUCGGUUUCAUCUAUGGCUUCAGCAACUGCAAGCGUGCCUACAGAGGAUGGUCCCAAAGUUUGACCUGACAUGCCUGUUCCCAAAAAAUAUGAUGAGGAGGUCGGAGAGUUUUUAUCGGAUGAAAAGUAGUUUUUUCUCCUUCCACUAUCCUUUUUUUUUACUAUAUAUAUAGUAAAUUAUUAUAUAAUGAAUAGUUAGUUUUAAGAAUUCUCUGGUAUUUAUAAUGGUUUGUUCAUUGCACGACCAAGGGCCCCUCCGUCGUCAAGUCAACAAUUGGAAAGAAACAUGCAAACAAAUUUCACAAUACCAUAAUAGUAUAAUAGGAUGACAUAAUGAUGUAGAAGAAUAUUAUAAAUACUGAUUUUGAACUACAAUGUCAUAAAUUUUUACCCAAAAUAUUAGGAAGUCAUAAAAUAGCAUAAUGCAAGAGGUUAUAAAACAGCAUUGGAAGUCAUAAAAUAGUACACAAAAUCAUGAAACAUUGUAAGAUGUCAUAAAACAAUGGAAAAAGUCAUGAAACAAAGUCGGAAGUCAUAAAACAAUGCAUGAUGACCGCGAGAGAAGUUAUAAAAUAGUGCAGGAUAUAACAGUGAGGGAAGUUAGAAAAUAUUAAAGUCAUAUAAUAGUGAGGAAAGUUAUAAAACAGUAUAGGAUGUCCUGAAGUAUUAUUAAAAAUCAUAAAACAGUGUAGGAUAUCAUCAAAUAAUUUCAGAAGUCAUAAAAAAAUGCAUAGAGUCAUGAAAUAAUGCUGGAAGUCAUAAAACAUUAUCGAAAAUCAUAAAAUAGUGCAAAAAUCAUGAAACAUUUGUGGAAGUCAUAAAAUAGUGUUGGAUGUCAAAAAAUAAUAGAGGAAAUCAUAAAACAAAAUAGUAAUUUAUGAAACAAUAUAGAAAGUCAUAAAAUUGUAGAUAACUGGAUGCCAUAAAACAGAACAGGAAGUCAUGAAACAAUACCAAAAGUUAUGAAAUAGUGUAGAAAGUCAUAAAAUAGUGCUGAAAGUCAUAAAACAUAACACCAAGUCAUGAAGCAAUUGAUGAAGUCAUAAGAUAUUGCAGGAAGUCAUAAAAUAUCAUCAGAAAUCAUCAAACAGCUUCGAAAGUCAUAAAAUAAUAAAUGAAUUCAUUAAACGAUGUCAGAUGUCAUGAAAUAGUAGAAAUAGUAAAGGAAGUUAUAAACAGUGCAAAAUGUUAUAAAACAGUGGAGGAAGUCAUAAAAUAGGAUAGAAAGUCUUGAAAUAAUAUCGAAAGUCAUAAAACAAUAUAGAUAGACAUUGUCCGAUGUUAUGAAAGAGUGAAAGAAGUCAUAAAAAAGAACAAAAAGUCUUGAAAAAAUGCCGAAAGUCAUAAAAUAUUGAUGGAGUUUAUAAAAUGAUGAAUCAAAUAGGAAACAGUGCUGGAAGUCAUAAAUUAGUAGAGGAAGUCAUAACACAGUAGCAUCGGAUGUCAUGAAGCAAUAUCAAAAUUGAUAAAAUAGUGGAAGAAUUGAUAAAAUCAUAUCGAAAGUAAUAAAACAGUGCCGAAAGUCAUGAAAUAUUGGUGGAAGUCAUAAAACAGUGGCGAAUAUCCAAAAAAAUAGUGAGAAAAGUCAUAAAAUUAAUAUAGGAAGACAUCAAACAUUACUGGAAGUCAUAAAAUAAUAUGAAAAGUCAUAAUACAGAAUGAAAAGUGAUAAAACAGUACAAAAAGUCAUAAAUAUUGGAGGAAAUCAUAAAACAGUAUAGAAGGAAGUCACAAAAAAGUAUAUGAUAUCAGAAAACAGUAGAGGAAUUGAUAAACCGGUGUUAGAAGUUAUAAAAUAGCGCAGAGUCUCAUGAAACAAUGUUGGAUGUCAUGAAACAGUGAAGAAAGUCAUAAAGUAAAACAGAAAGUCAUGAAACAACAUCGGGUGUCACAAAACAAUGCAGAGAGUCAUAAAACAGUGCUGGAUAUCAUAAAACAGAAAAAAAAAUAAUGAAACAGAGCAGAAAGUCAUGAAACAAUAUCAAAAAUCGUGAACGAAUGCAGAAAGUUAUAAAACAGUGCAGGAUAUUAUGAAACAAUGACAGAAUUCAUAAAGAAGUAUCGGGAGUCAGAAAACAGUGGAGGAAGUCCUGAAAUAGCAUCGAAAAUUAUGAAACAGCACCAACGAUCAUGAAACAUUGACAGAAUAUCCUAUGACUAUAGUAAGUCAUAAUCCGCACCGAGGAUGUCAUGAAGUGAAGGGAGUAUGGAAUGUCAUUCUGCUACCAAAAAAAAGAUAUUUGUAUGGGCUCUAAGAUGUCAUAAAAGGAUCAUGAAAAGUCAUAAUCGACUCAGAGGAUGCCACAAUCAACUAUACAACCAUCCUUAGCUCUAGGAUGUCAUACUCGAUUUGCGGGAUGUCAUAAUCGAGGGACGUGAUGGCAUAUUUGUCUAAAAAGAUGCCAUCGAGAGCUAUUUCGACACUAGGACCAGAGAUCAAAAUUGAAGACAGAACUCGAUGCAGAACCUAAUCGAGACAAUGAUUUCAUCUAACUAUCCACAAAGACGCUGUAAUAAAUAAACUACUGAAAAAAAAAGAGGAGGCCAUGGCAAUCGGGGUUCAAAAUCAAAGUCGACGUGGAACCUAGUCAAGGCAUUAACUUUGUCUAACUAUCCAUGAAAAUACUGUGAUACAUAAACUACUUUAAAAAAAGAGGGGGCGGCAAUGAUGUUUUUACUUCCUGACCGGCCCAACAUACUGUCAUCGAGUAGUUUUGGAAAAAAAAUGCUGCCCAAAAUCCUCUAUCACGUGAAACAGUCAGCAGGAUUGACUUAGGAUGCCUCGAAGCUCAGAGAGGAAGGAGAGCGACUCUGAGGGUGGAGAGAGAGUGGCAAUAUUUGAAAUGAUAAAGCGAGAGACCAUGACAAGCCAAAAAAAUUGCUUCCGAUGGUGGAAAAGGGCAUUUUCAUCUGAAAAAAUUUGAAAAAAUGGACUGUGAUGGGCAUUUAAUGAAUGUCACGAUUGGGAGGACAGGCACCUCCAUUUUCUUGAUGCAGAAUGAGACCCCAUCCCAUCUUCCAUGCAGGCGCCAUGCAGUCCAAUCACAGCAUCCAACGCACUCCACAUCGAAUUUAUUACACUGGGGGCGGUGCACAAAGAAUUACUCUUGUUAUAAAUGUUUGUGAGAGACCAUUAAGGGCCCAAUAGGAUAGGGCUUGCAUCUUUCGCGGGAAAGAAGGAUUCACCUUCCUUCGCAUGAAUCCAUCAUCGGAUCGCCAAAUGAUCAGUUAGAGAUCUAUGUGAUGAAUAUGAAGAGGAAAAGAUUUUCUUUUUAUUUUUCUUCAUAUCCAAGAGGGUAUACAAAAGGCCUAUAAAUACAGAUAUGUAGACCCAAAUAUAGACAGAGAAUAACAAGAAUAUGCCAAAAAAUAACAUCCAAGGAUCCUUAAUUAGACAUCUUUCUAAUUAGAUCCAAUCCUUCCAAUACUCUCCCUCAAGAUGAGGCGAAGAUAUCUCGAAGCCCCAUCUUGUCAAUCAAUCUAAAAAAAGAGGAUAAGCUAAGCCCUUUGAUCCGAAUAUCCGCCACCUGACCAGAUGACCGAAUGAAGGUAAUACGGAUCUGACCCUGAUCAGUCUUCUCCUUGAUAAAGUGACGGUCAAUCUCGAUGUGUUUGGUACAAUCAUGCUGUACCAGAUUGCUUACAAUCUCAAUUGCCGCCUUGCUGUCACAAUACAACCGAAAAGAAAACUUGUUCAGAAGUUGUAACUCCUGAAGUAGCUUCUAAAGCCAGAGAAAUUCACAUAUGCCUAGGGCCAUUGCUCUAUACUCAGCUUCUGCUGAUGAUCUAGCUACCACUGACUGAUUCUUGCUCCUCCAGAUAAUUAAAUUACCCCUACAUAUGUGCAAUACCCAGAGAUAGAUCGCAUAUCAUCCAGUGAUCUAGUUCAAUCUGCAUCAGUAAAUCCCUCUACCUGAAAAGUGUUGUGUCAUGAGAACAACAAACCACGAUCAGGACAUCCUUUCAAGUAGCGCAAUACUCUGAAAGCUCCCUCCAUAUGAGAUUCUCGUGGAUCAUGCAUGUACUGACUGAUGACACUGACAGCAUAGGCUAUGUCAGAUCUCGUAUGUGAGAUAUAUAUCAACCUUCCAACCAGUUGCUGGUACCUUCCUCAAUCAACAGGAGCUCCACCAUCUGUCACUAUCUGAUAAUUCUGGUUUAUCAGGGUAGCAGCAGGCUUAUACCCCAACAUCCCAAUCUCAAAAAGCAAAUCUAGUACAUAUUUUCAUUAUGACGGAAAAAUUUUUCUGGAUGAUCGUGCAACUUCUAUACCCAGAAAAUACCUUAGUGGACCCAGGUCUUUCACCUCGAAUGCUUACUUCAGUUUUUCUUUGAGUUGCUUAAUCUCAUAAUGGUCAUCUCCUGUUAUUACAAUAUCAUCAACAUAAACCAAGAGUAUAGUUUUCUUUCCCUUGAAAUGCCUAUAGAACAGAGUAUCAUCUGCAUUACUCUGUCUAUAUCUUAUUCCUUUCACAGUCCGACUGAAUCGAUCAAACUAGAUCUAAGGAGACUGUUUGAGGCCAUAUAGUGAGUGUUUUAACUUGCAGACUUUUCUAGCAGUUGCUAUGGUCUCAAAUCCUGAUGGCAUAUGUAUGUAUACCUCCUCUUGAAGAUCCCCGUCAAGAAAUACAUUCUUCACAUCUAACUAAUGUAAUUUCCAGUCAAAGUUAGUAGCACAUGAUAUCAAUGUUCAAACAAAGUUCAUCUUGGCCACUGGAGCAAAGAUCUCAUCAUAGUCUACCUCAUAUGUUUGAGUGUAGCCCUUUGUUACCAGCCAAGCUUUGUAUCUUUCUACCUUACCUUCUGGAGUCUGCUUUACGGUGUACACUCACUUACACCCCACAGGAUGCUUAUUAGCUGGCAGAGUGACUAGAUCGCAUGUCCGAUUUUUGGAUAAAGCAUUCAUCUCUUCUAACAUUGCUUCCUUCCAUUUAGGUUCUGCCAUAGCUUUUUGUCAGAUAUUAGGAAUACAGAUGGAGUUUACUGCAGCUAUAAAGUUUUGAUAAGAUAGAGACAUAUUCUUAGAUGAAACAUAGUUAGCUAUAUCGUAACGAUAACGAGCAGGAGGAACAAUUGAGCGAGUACCCUUCCGCUUUGCAAUAGGAAUAUCAAGAUCAGAAUUGAAAGGAAUAGUAGAAAUAAUAUUACCAUUACGGUUAGAGAACUCUGAAAAAGAAGAUUCUGGAGAAGAAGCUUCAAGCGGUGGAGGCAUCUAGACAGUUGGUGGAUGCACACUGAACUCUUCAACUAUCCCAAUACCAGGCUCCCCCUCUACCCCAAUACCAGGCUCCCUCUGGACAUCAUUACUAUGAUACUUCCCAUGGACACCAGAAUAUCCAGGAGUGUAGAGAGAGUCACCUAGAAGAAGUAAUUCUGAUGUCCCACUAUCAGACGAACGACUUCCAUAGUAGGCUUCAGUUUCUCGAAAAGUAAUAUCCAUAGUAACAAGCAUUCACCGCUCAGGGGGGUAAUAAUACUUGUAUCCCUUCUGAAUAGAAGGAUAACUGACAAAAACACACUUUAAUGCUCGUGGAUCUAGUUUUCCUACUGAGGGUCUAUAAUCUCGAGCAAAACAAACACACCCAAAGAUUCUAAAAGGGACCACAUAAUCAGUAGACCCCUUCAAGCACUGUAUGGGGGACUUAAACUCAAAUGUCCUGAGAGGUAUAUGAUUGAUCAAAUACACAGUGGUAAAGAUAGCCUCACCCCACAAAAACUUAGAAACUUGCAUGGUAAAGAGUAAGGACCGGACUACUUCCAAUAAGUGCCUGUUUUUUUUACUCAGCAACCCCAUUUUGAGUAGGAGUAUCAACACAAGUAGUUUGAUGAAGAAUUUUGUAAGUGUGAAGAUACGCACGAAAUUCUUGAUUAAUAUAUUUGAUGUCAUUGUCAGAAUACAGAAUCUUAAUCUUGACACCGAACUGAGUACCCACAAGUUUAUGAAACUUCUUAAAGCAGUUUAAAACUUCAGUCUUUUUCUUUAAUAAAUAUACCCAAGUUACUCGACUAAAACAAUCAAUAAAAGUAACAAACCAUCUAUAGCCCAUAGGAAUAGUAGUACUACAUGGAUUCCAUACAUCAGAGUGAAUUAUAACAAAAGGUUUAGAACUUUUAACCCCAAACAUAGGAAAUGCUCCCUUGGUGUGUUUAGCCAACUCACAAUGAUCACAAACUAAUAAAUUUUUGUUGCAAUUAUUUGAUAAAGAAGGAAAUAAACGGCUAAUAACAGAAAAAAGAAUAUAACCCAGCUUACGAUGGUAUAACAUAAGUUCUGAAGUGGCACCUCCAGCAAACAAUGCAUAACCCUUCAAAGAAGAUUCCAUCCUAUUCUCAUCAGCUGAUAGGUAAUAGAGUCUAUUGUGCAGCCUAUU
rnacentral:lncRNA from 1 species